CUGUCCAUGUGACUGUAGAGCAGCGGUCACCAGCCCUGGUCCUUCAGAUCCACUAUCCUGCAUGUUCUAGAACAGCGGUCACCAGCCCUGGUCCUUCAGAUCCACUAUCCUGCAUGUGUUAGA